UUACGUUCUCUAUGACCGUUUCCAUGAAAACAACACCAAAGAUUCACGCGAUAAACUUCGCAAAAUACAGCUUGUACCAGAGUUGGCUGGAAGAGUGAAUUCUCAAUGUGCUGAGCAGUUGUUUUCUCAAAUGAGAAAAAACAACUAUUUUCUGAAUGUAAUGAAGCCAACAAACCAUGUGUUCCUCAUGCGUAACCUGUUGCACCACUACAAUGUUGCAAAAAAUAAUAGGUUUGUUGAACAACUUGCCAAGCAUGUUGGUUGCACUGAGGUUACCCUGGACCAGCAUGGGCAAGCACUGUCAGGGUCAUCUUUUGAAAGCAAAAACAAGAGCAAUGGUGAGCCAAACGCACAAAAGGUGGCUGCAAGAAAAUUGAAAGAUUACUUGAAGACCUCCUGGGAACAGCCAUUGACUAAAUCAGUGGAGGAAAAGGUGUUUAAAUGAGAAUUUUAUACGAUGUGAGGAGCAUCAAAUUUUUAGUAUUUAAAUGUUGAUUUAUUUAUUUCCCCCAUAUAGCUCAUGGAUGUGCUAGACACAAAUAAAAGUCAGAGCGAACAUGUGGCACGCAUUUAUUCCACCACCCUGAUGCGAGAAGAUUUUCAGACGCUGGGAUUAGAACGCGAUGCUGAGGCAACGAUUUUGAAUUGCUGUUUCAAGAUAAUAGAAGACAUCAGCGCAUUGCAGGGUGUUCAAGUCUGGACUUCGAACAGCUAUGUAAAUGCAACUUUGAUUCCACCGCUGUGUGCAGAUCCCAUGUUACAUAUCCCUGUUGAUGCAUCUGCGAAAGACUGCAUUUUGUUUCCAUCAUGGAGCAAGUCACACUGGAUGAUUUGUGAGAGUUGCCCAGAAAAUUGUUCCUGGACAUUGGACUGAGUUGUCCUGUCAGGAUCUUUCAAAUAUUCCAAUGCAGAGUUUCUCAAAUAACUGUGGAGUCUUUAUGCUAAUGGUAAGUUUAACAAUUUACAUGGACAUCCGCAUUAAUAGAUUUAGAUCUUGACAAUUUCUUUGACUUUCAGUAUGCCUUGUACAUCGCACUUGAUGUUGAUUUUGACUUUUCUGAGGCUAAUAUGACAAAAAUAAGGAGAUGGUGGUGUGGGCUCCUGCUCGAAGGCUCAGGGUAAAUUAUUAUUA